rnacentral:rRNA from 1 species
UACGUAGGGUGCAAGCGUUGUCCGGAAUUAUUGGGCGUAAAGAGCUUGUAGGCGGUUUGUCGCGUCUGCUGUGAAAUUUCGGGGCUCAACCCCGAACUUGCAGUGGGUACGGGCAGACUAGAGUGUGGUAGGGGAGACUGGAAUUCCUGGUGUAGCGGUGAAAUGCGCAGAUAUCAGGAGGAACACCGAUGGCGAAGGCAGGCUCUGU